UACAGAGGUCCCAAGCGUUGUUCGGAUUUACUGGGCGUAAAGGGAGCGUAGGUGGCAUUCUAAGUCUGAUGUGAAAGCUCUGAGCUUAACUCAGAAAUGACAUUAGAAACUAGUUUGCUUGAGAGUUGGAGGGGGGACUGGAAUUCUUGGUGUAGCAGUGAAAUGCGUAGAUAUCAAGAGGAACACCAGUGGCGAAGGCGAGUCCCUGGGCAACUUCUGACGCUGAGGCACGAAAGCUAGGGGAGCAAACAGG
rnacentral:rRNA from 1 species